UACGUAGGGUGCAAGCGUUGUCCGGAUUUAUUGGGCGUAAAGAGCUCGUAGGCGGCUUAGAAAGUCAGGUGUGAAACCUCCAGGCUCAACCUGGAGACGCCACUUGAUACUUCUAUGGCUUGAGUUCGGUAGGGGUAAGCGGAAUUCCUGGUGUAGCGGUGAAAUGCGCAGAUAUCAGGAGGAACACCGAUGGCGAAGGCAGCUUACUGGGCCGAUACUGACGCUGAGGAGCGAAAGCGUGGGGAGCGAACAGG
rnacentral:rRNA from 1 species